rnacentral:rRNA from 1 species
CCUACGGGAGUCAGCAGUGGGGAAUAUUGCGCAAUGGGGGAAACCCUGACGCAGCAACGCCGCGUGAGUGAGGAAGGACUUCGGUCUGUAAAGCUCUGUUAAUGAGGAAAAAUGGUAGUUGGUCUAAUAGGCCGAUUAUUUGAUGGUACUCAUAGAGGAAGCACCGGCUAACUUCGUGCCAGCAGCCGCGGUAAUACGAAGGGUGCAAGCGUUGUUCGGAUUUAUUGGGCGUAAAGCGCGCGUAGGCGGACCUGCAAGUAAGAUGUGAAAUCUCGAGGCUCAACCUCGAAACUGCGUCUUAAACUACAGGUCUAGAAUCUCGGAGGGGGAAGGGGAAUUUCGCAUGUAGGGGUAAAAUCCGUAGAUAUGCGAAGGAACACCAGAGGCGAAGGCGCCUUCCUGGACGAGUAUUGACGCUGAGGCGCGAAAGCGUGGGGAUCAAACAGGAUUAGAUACCCUGGUAGUCCACGCUGUAAACGAUGAACACUAGGUAUUGGAGGAUUUGACCCCUUCAGUGCCGUAGCUAACGCGUUAAGUGUUCCGCCUGGGAAGUACGGUCGCAAGCUAAAACUCAAAGANAGUACGCGNGNGAGAGCGACGACGACGACGACGGAGGAGGAGG